GGCGGGAUGGAGCAGCUCGAGCUCGUCGGGCUCAUAACCCGAAGGUCGUAGGUUCAAAUCCUGCUCCCGCAA
rnacentral:tRNA from 1 species